UCCCUGGCGGUCCAGUGGUUAGGACUCAGCAUUUUCACAGCUGGGGCCUGGGUUCAAUCCCUGGCCAGGGAA
rfam:TPA: Bos taurus chromosome 11, whole genome shotgun sequence.